CAACGAAGUUGGAAGCCCAUAGAUUCCUUACGCUUCACACACUUCACACAUAUCGUAUCCGGUGAAUGGGCUGUGGAAAAGGGAAUCACUCGCUGUUUGUCUUUGUUUCUACUCGUUUCUUUUCUUCUAUCUUUCUGCAAACUUCUUGGUAAAUUCUCUCAAAGCCCACGCAAUUUUAUCAAAUUGCACCAAGUCCCAUUCCCAGAUUUCGAGGACCCAAAUUAAACCAAACCCUUGCAAUUGACAGCUGAACCCCAACAAAACCCUAAUUUCUCAAACCAUAUUUCGAGGUUCCAACUUUAUUACCUUCAACAAAAAGAGGUGAAAUCUUGGAAGUUUUGAAACAAAAUAAUGGAUUUCGACGAGUACGAGUAUUUGGAAAAAACCGUUGAGGAGCAGGAAGAUCCGAAGAAGACGAAAGACGGAGGAGGAUCGGAGGAUAAAAGCGAGAAAAGCUAUAGGAAGAGAGAUGGAGAUAGAGAGGAAGAGGAUGAUGAGGGCAAGAGGAGCAGCAAGAAAUCGAGAAGCGGCCGCGAUGAGGACGACGAGGAGAGGCGAGAUCGGGAUAAGGACCGCCAUAGAAGCAGCCGCGACAGGGAUAGGGAAAGGGAGAGAGAUAGAGAUAAGGAUUUAGAGAGGAGGGGUAGCAGAGAGAGGGAUAGCAGAGAGAGGGAGAAGGAAAGGGAGAGAGAAAGAAGAGAAAAAGAUAAGGAGAAAGAGAGGGAUAGGAGAGAGAAGGAAAAGGAGAGAGAGAGGAGGGAAAGAGAGAAGGAAAAGGAGAAAGAGAGGGAGAUAGACCGGAGAGAGAGAAGCAGUAGUAGGUCGAGGAGGCACGAAAGUGAUCGUGAGAUAGAGAGGGAACGGGAGAGAGAUAGGAGAGAGAGGAGCAGUAGUAGGUCGAGGAGGCACGAGAGUGAUCGUGAGCUAGAGAGGGAGCGGGAGAGAGAUAGGAGAGAGAGAAGCAGUAGUAGGUUGAGGAGACACGAGAGUGAACGCGAUCAAGAGAGGGAACGUGAAAUUGACAUCAGAGAUAGCAGGAGAUUUAAGGAUAAGAAAGAUGCAGUGGAGCCUGAGGCUGAUCCUGAGAGGGACCAGAGAACUGUUUUUGCUUACCAGAUGCCUCUAAAAGCAACUGAGAGAGAUGUCUAUGAAUUCUUCUCAAAAGCAGGCAAGGUAAGGGAUGUUCGGCUGAUCAUGGAUAGAAAUUCAAGAAGAUCAAAGGGGGUUGGGUACAUUGAGUUUUAUGAUGUGAUGUCUGUGCCAAUGGCAAUAGCAUUGUCUGGUCAACUGCUUCUUGGUCAACCUGUGAUGGUUAAACCUUCAGAGGCCGAAAAGAAUCUUGUUCAGUCCAAUACUUCUGGUGCAGGCGCAGGUGGUGUUGCUGGACCAUAUGGAGCUGUUGAUAGAAAACUAUAUGUAGGGAACUUGCAUUUUAAUAUGACAGAAAUGCAGCUUAGACAGAUAUUUGAACCUUUUGGACCUGUGGAGCUUGUGCAACUACCACUUGACCUUGAGACUGGACAGUGCAAAGGUUUUGGGUUUGUCCAGUUUGCUCAACUUGAACAUGCAAAAGCAGCUCAAAGUGCCUUGAACGGGAAACUGGAGAUUGUUGGUCGAACCAUUAAGGUUUCAUCUGUUACAGAUCAUGUUGUUACCCAAGAUGCUACGGCAAAAUCUGCAGACUUUGAUGAUGAUGAGGGUGGUGGCUUGGCUUUGAACGCACAAUCAAGAGCGUUGCUUAUGCAGAAACUGGAUCGCUCUGGUAUUGCAACAAGCAUUACGAGCUCUCUUGGAGUACCCCUCGUUAAUGGGUCUGCUCCAAAUCAACAGGCAACAUUACCUGUCAAUGGCCAAGGGGCAUUUCCAGCACCAGUUCUACAGCCAAUCAUGUCUACUACAGCCCUUGAACCUAUUGGACAGCCCAGCGAGUGUUUGCUGUUGAAGAAUAUGUUUGAUCCUGCAACUGAGACGGAACCUGAUUUUGAUUUGGAUAUUAAAGAGGAUGUUGAAGAAGAAUGCAGCAAAUAUGGCAGGGUGAAGCAUAUUUAUGUGGACAAAAACAGUGGCGGUUGUGUCUAUCUUCGAUUUGAUUCGACGGAAGCAGCGGGUAAAGCUCAACGUGCAAUGCACAUGAGAUGGUUUGCAGGCAGAUCAAUAUCAGCCUUAUUUAUGCAACCCCAUGAAUAUGAAGCGAGGUUUAAAGGUUGAUUGAAGUUCAGCAGCUUUCACAUUAUCAAGUGAGUUUUGCAAAUUUUUCGAUGUGGGGUUUUUAUUUUCGGUUCCUCAUGUUUGCUUCAGUGCAUAUAUAUAUAUUUAGGAUAAUUGUCUUGACUGGGUUCAGAUUAUUUUUAUUUUUAUUUCAGAUUGGUACACAAUGAGCUAAAUGACAAUACUUGGAGGAGGCAAAUAAUUUUGUUUGUAUAGGGGCACGUAUGUGCAAUUCAGGGGUACCGAAGUACGAACAGGGGCAUACAUGUGCAAUUUAGGGGUACUAAAGUACAAACAGGGGCACACAUGUGCAAUUCAUACAAUAAUUAACUAUAAGCAUUUAAAUUACAUAAAUAUAAUCUAAAAAUUCAAAUAGAAAUUCAAUUACAUAAUGAAAUACUAUGGACUUACAUUGACGACUAGAGCGUGGAAAUAUGAUCGAGCUAAUCUGUGAUUUUUGCCUUUUCUCGAUUUAGAUUCGGUUGAGAUUUAUCUUGAUCUAAAUAAGUAAUUAUAUUCAA